GCUCGUAAGAAUCCGCCUCGUCACGCUGCCAUCUUGGCCUCCUCUCAGACGGAGAACACCGGUCUGAACCCUGAAACUCCAGAGCAGAAAAUAAGUCCCACUCCAGCCCUGACCUCAAACACGACUCCAGCAUGACUCCAGCAGCCGAACCGGUUUCUAAGAACGGAACACUGAAGGUCUCCACGGUACUGGAGGGCAUUUUGCUCUGAAUCUGGGUCGUGGUCGCUGAGACUUUGGUGGUUUCUGUGGUUCUGAUUGGGUUCUACGUAGUUAAACGUCAGAAAUGGACACAGCCCCCUGCUGCUCCUGCAGAGGACACGACCUGAUGUUAAAACAGGACCAGAAACACAGAGGAACUGGUGAUCAGGAAGUCAACUGGAUCAAAGAUUCCGAUCAGAACCUCAGAACCCAGAAACCCAGUUUUACACGAGGAAACAGCGCUAUACUGGUGGCUGGUUUAUGUUCAGUCAGAGCGGCUCGAUGCCAACAAAAACAAGUAGAACCGCCUCUUAGAACAUCUGUUACUGUUAUUAUUAUGCUGACAGAAUAAGAAAAAAUUAUAUUUUAUUGCUGCUUAUUUAACAAAUACAUCUGAUUAAUGUCAGAUUGGCUGAAAUUGCCAAUUGUUAAAUGAAAAAUACAAAUGUUUAUUUUGUAAACUUUGUUUUAUUCAGUACAAGCCAAAGGUUUGGACACGCCUUCACAUUCAAUGUGCUGUCUUUAUUAUCUUGACCGUUUACAUUGGGAGAUUCUCACUGAAGGCAUCAAACCUAUGAUGUGGAGUUUAAAGGUGAAAUAACUGAAAACGUGUUUUAUUUUCCAUUUUCUCCAGAAAAGCCACCCUUUGCUCUGAUUACUGCUUUGCACGCUCUUGAUGAGUUUCUCACCUGAAAUGGGUUUCCAACAGUCUUGAAGGACCCUCCUCCCAACCCCAGAGAUGCAGAUGUCUGGUUUGAACAGGAACUGGAAAGAUAAACGGAGAAGGAAGUGACGCGCCACCAUCAGCGUCAGCCUGAAGAAGCCGGCAGCCGUCGGCGAAACGUAGCAUCAACAACAUGUAACAAAACCGUCUCUGUGUUUUAAAAAAGAACGACAAUAUGGAAUUAGAAAUAACGCACAGCAAGAACACACCUAAGAGGAUCUGGAAAGAUUAGUUUUGUGUUCACUAAGGCUGGAGACUGAACAGUGAUGCAAAGGGGCUAGUCUCUCUAGAGAAGACCACAGCAACCUCCCUGAGCAGAACCCAGUAUCCAUCACUGUGGCAGACAUCCAACAAAGAGCCUCAGGUCUGAAGAACUGGACAGCUCCAGGACCUGACAUGACACGCCUACUGGCUUAAGAAGCUCACUGCACUCCAUGAGUGCCUGGCAGCACAAAUGAAGCAGCUGCUAAAUGAUGGGACUCACUCUGAAUGGCUAACUGACUUGGCUAAUACCAAGGAGACGCCCUGUCCCCACUGCUGUUCUGCAGAGGUCAGAUCCCCGUCUACCAGAUAUUCCACAAGACUGGCCAUGGAUAGCGCCUCCUCUACAUGGAAGACCUCGAUCUCACCCUCCACAUAGCGGAGGUCUAAUCUUCAGGUGUUUGAAUCAUGCUUAGUUCGACCGCCUACCUGAGACCAUGUUGUCAUGGAGACCCUAACAGGGGCUAAUGAACCAGACUACACAGCUUCCAGGACGAUGGAGGUCCUCAAACCCUCCCACCACGAUAAGGUGGCGAUUCUGCGGGAGGGAUGGGUUUUUUUUUUUUUGGCUUUUUAAUGUCAAUUUAUUUAUUUAUUUAUUUUAAUUUUUGUGUGUAUAUUUUAUAUGUAUAUAUUUGUAUUCUAUUUUAUUUGAUUUGAUAGAAAAAUAUAAAUUUUACAAAAAUA